GGAGGGUGCAAGCGUUAAUCGGAAUUACUGGGCGUAAAGCGCACGCAGGCGGUUUGUUAAGUCAGAUGUGAAAUCCCCGGGCUCAACCUGGGAACUGCAUCUGAUACUGGCAAGCUUGAGUCUCGUAGAGGGGGGUAGAAUUCCAGGUGUAGCGGUGAAAUGCGUAGAGAUCUGGAGGAAUACCGGUGGCGAAGGCGGCCCCCUGGACGAAGACUGACGCUCAGGUGCGAAAGCGUGGGGAGCAAAC
rnacentral:rRNA from 1 species